rnacentral:tRNA from 1 species
CAAUGUGUAGCUUAAUUAAAGCGUCACGCUUACACCGAGAAAACAUCUGUGAAACUCAGAUCAUAUUGA